UACGUAGGGGGCAAGCGUUGUCCGGAAUCAUUGGGCGUAAAGAGCGUGUAGGCGGUCCGGUGAGUCGGUUGUGAAAGUCCAGGGCUCAACCCUGGGAUGCCGAUCGAUACUGUCGGACUAGAGUUCGGAAGAGGCGAGUGGAAUUCCCGGUGUAGCGGUGAAAUGCGCAGAUAUCGGGAGGAACACCAAUGGCGAAGGCAGCUCGCUGGGACGUUACUGACGCUGAGACGCGAAAGCGUGGGGAGCAAACAGG
rnacentral:rRNA from 1 species